AACGCGAAGAACCUUACCUACCCUUGACAUCCUGGGAAGACCGUAGAGAUAUGGUUGUGCCGAAAGGAACCCGGAGACAGGUGCUGCAUGGCUGUCGUCAGCUCGUGUUGUGAGAUGUUGGGUUAAGUCCCGUAACGAGCGCAACCCUCGUCCCAUGUUGCCAGCGGGUUAUGCCGGGGACUCAUGGGAGACUGCCGGGGUCAACUCGGAGGAAGGUGGGGAUGACGUCAAGUCAUCAUGCCCCUUAUGUCUUGGGCUGCAAACAUGCUACAAUGGCCGGUACAGAGGGCUGCGAGCCUGUAAGGGUGAGCGAAUCCCGGAAAGCCGGUCUCAGUUCGGAUCGGGGUCUGCAACUCGGCCCCGUGAAGCCGGAGUCGCUAGUAAUCGCGGAUCAGCAACGCCGCGGUGAAUACGUUCCCGGGCCUUGUACACACCGACAUA
rnacentral:rRNA from 1 species